rnacentral:pre_miRNA from 1 species
AGCUUUUCGAGUCCGUGCUGAGAUUUCGUCAGACACCAACCCAUUAGGGCUGAUCAGA